rnacentral:rRNA from 1 species
AUGGGGAUGGCGGCGGUCAAGGUGGAGGGGCGGGACGGCUGCGCCGAGAGCAGGCAGCAUCUGGCGCUGUCGAGCCCGUCGGCGUCCGAGGGAGGGAGCUAUGGCGGCGGGCACGCGUGGGCGUCGCCGCUCGUGCCCAGCCCCGCCGAUUCCGGCUCCAGCCGCAGGCGAAUAAGUGGCCCUGUAAGAAGAGCUAAGGGUGGCUGGACACCUGAAGAGGAUGAAACAUUGCGCAAGGCAGUUACUGUUUUCAAGGGUAAAAAUUGGAAGAGAGUAGCCGAGUUUUUCCCUGAUAGAACAGAAGUACAAUGUCUGCACAGAUGGCAAAAAGUUCUUGACCCUGAACUUAUAAAAGGACCUUGGACCCAAGAGGAAGAUGACACCAUUAUCCAGAAGGUAAAGGAGCAUGGACCAACAAAAUGGUCCGUUAUAGCGAGGUCAUUGCAUGGUCGUAUUGGUAAACAAUGCCGAGAGAGAUGGCAUAAUCAUCUGGAUCCUCAAAUAAGGAAAGAAGCUUGGACUUUUGAGGAGGAGCAGGUGCUUGUUGAUGCUCAUCGUAUGCAUGGUAAUAAAUGGGCGGAGAUUGCAAAACUCCUUCCUGGAAGGACAGAUAACUCAAUAAAAAACCAUUGGAAUAGUUCAGUGAGAAAAAGGCUAGAUGAAUAUGAUACAGGAGCUGCCCGCAAUGUUCCAGUACAUGUCAGUCAUAAUGAUUUGAAACAGCCCGCGAUAGCCCUGCCUGCUGAAAACUACAUUGACUUGAAUGAAGUGCCAAACAUCAGUUUGAGAAACCAUUCAGGAAUAGUCGAUCAUUCUGAUCCUACCCAUAGUCCACGGGUGUGUAGUUUGAAAAAUAUUAAGGGCUGUUCAGACUUCCUCUCUCUUUCCAUGCCAACUGCUCAACCAGUAACUUCAUGUCAGGCAUCAGCAGCUGAUGAUUCUGCUGUUGCUUUAGCAAUAAUGGGGAUGAAAAUGGAUUCUGGCCGUGACAAGGACAUUGAACUGAACUUUGUUUGUCAGAAGGGUCUGCAAAUCAAUUUGUCGAAUGAGAAGGGCCUGGAAAUUGACCCCGUAAUAGCUAAGCCAGAUGGACGUGAAUCAACCUUGGUAAAAGAGGCUCAGUCCUUUGGUUCUCUUUGUUAUCAGAUACCUAAGCUAGAAGAUAUCGACCUUGUUCGUUCCCCAGUUUUGUCAAGACAUCAUGGAUCAGAACACGGUGUGGAUGGAUUUCAAUCACCCACUGGCUAUGCUACUCCCUCUCCAACUGAUGGAAAACAAUCCGAUCAGCUCAGUGUGGAAUCAAUAUUGAAAAGUGCUGCUGAAAACUUCCCAGGUACUCCUUCGAUACUCAGGAGAAGAAAAAGGGAUAAACCAACACCUUCUCAAGAUACUGAUUUUAAGAUUGAUGCAAACAGUGAUUGUUUUGACACCCCCAAAGCGAACUGCACUACAUAUAGCCCACAUUCAUUUAAAACUGCACCAUUUUUGUCCUUGGGUCGCCUUGAUGACCAGCAGUUGCCUUCUGUCUUGGGGAAGUUUGAUGUUUCCCCCACAUAUCGAUUAAGGUCAAAGCGAAUGGCUGUGCUGAAAACCGUUGAGAAGCAUCUAGAUUUUUCGGCUGAUGCAAUGGAUACUUGUGACAUGGUUGGAACUCUGAAAUCUUCUUGCCGGAACACGGAGAGCAUCAAUGCCAGCUCAGACAUUUCAAGCGCACACGAUAGGAGGAUUAAUGGGCAUAUGAUUGGGUUGGAGACUCUAACCAGUGACUUUGCAUACACAACAAAGUUAGAUGCAACCUAG